GUCUAUGGUCACGCCCCCCGAACACGCCUGAUCCCGUCUGAUCUCGGAAGCCAAGCAGGGUCAGGCCUGGUGAGUACUCGGAUGGGAGACCACCUAGGAAGAUGAGGUGCUGUAGGCG
rnacentral:rRNA from 1 species